rnacentral:rRNA from 1 species
UACGUAGGGUGCGAGCGUUAAUCGGAAUUACUGGGCGUAAAGCGUGCGCAGGCGGUCUGUUAAGACCGAUGUGAAAUCCCCGGGCUUAACCUGGGAACUGCAUUGGUGACUGGCAGGCUUUGAGUAUGGCAGAGGGGGGUAGAAUUCCACGUGUAGCGGUGAAAUGCGUAGAUAUCUGGAGGAACACCGGUGGUGAAGGCGGCGUUCUGGACUGCAACUGACACUGAUGAACGAAAGCCAGGGGAGCAAACGGG